AUAGCCACACUCAGACCCCUUGUGGAGCCCAAGAUUGUCAUAAAGAGGAUCAAGAAGUUCAUCAUCGGGACAGAUCGAUAUGUCAAAAUUAAGUGUAACUGGUGGAAACCCAGAGGUAUUAACAACAGGGUAUGCAGAGGAUUCAAGGGCCAGACUUGAUGUCCAACACUGGUUAUAGGAGCAACAAGAAGACAAAGCACAUGCUGCCCAUGGCUUCUGGAAGUUCCUAGUAUCCAGUGUCAAGGAGCUGGAUGUGCUGCUGAUGUGCAACAAAUCUUACUGGGCUGAGAAUGCUCACAAUGUUUUCUCAAAGAAGAACCACACAGCCAUCAUGGAAAGAGCAGCCUAGCUCAUCAUCAGAGUCACCAAUCCUAAUGCCAGGCUGCACAGCAAAGAAAAUGAAUAG
rnacentral:lncRNA from 1 species